rnacentral:piRNA from 1 species
UGGGUGAAGGUCAUCCCCAAGCCUCAGCUC